GACGAACGCUGGCGGCGUGCUUAACACAUGCAAGUCGAACGGAAAGGCCCUGCUUUUGUGGGGUGCUCGAGUGGCGAACGGGUGAGUAACACGUGAGUAACCUGCCCUUGACUUUGGGAUAACUUCAGGAAACUGGGGCUAAUACCGGAUAGGAGCUCCUGCUGCAUGGUGGGGGUUGGAAAGUUUCGGCGGUUGGGGAUGGACUCGCGGCUUAUCAGCUUGUUGGUGGGGUAGUGGCUUACCAAGGCUUUGACGGGUAGCCGGCCUGAGAGGGUGACCGGCCACAUUGGGACUGAGAUACGGCCCAGACUCCUACGGGAGGCAGCAGUGGGGAAUAUGGCACAAUGAGCGGAAGCCUGAUGCAGCAACGCCGCGUGCGGGAUGACGGCCUUCGGGUUGUAAACCGCUUUCGCCUGUGACGAAGCGUGAGUGACGGUAAUGGGUAAAGAAGCACCGGCUAACUACGUG
rnacentral:rRNA from 1 species